AGGGCGUACGGCGAAUGCCUGGCCACUCGAAACUGAAGAAGGACGCGCCAAACUGCGAAAAGCUCCGUGAAGCUGUAAGGAAGCGAAGAAGCGGAGGUGUCCGAAUGGGGGAACCCGGCAGCAGACAUGAGCUGUCAUCUGCAGGUGAAUACAUGGCCUGCAAGAGAGGUACCCGGCGAACUGAAACAUCUAAGUAGCCGGAGGAAAAGAAAACAACAGUGAUUCCCUGAGUAGCGGCGAGCGAAAGGGGAGAAGCCCAAACCGGUCCAAGGACCGGGGUUGAAGGACCAUGAUAUGGCAAGAGAGAGGAUAGAAGAACGGGAUCGAAAGCCCGGCCGAAGAAGGUGCAAGCCCUGUAAUUGAAAUCCGAUCGAAGCCUAAUGGGAUCCUGAGUACGGCGAGACACGAGGAAUCUUGUCGGAAGCAGGCGGGACCAUCCGCCAAGGCUAAAUAUAAACGAGUGAGCGAUAGUGAACCAGUACCGUGAGGGAAAGGUGAAAAGAACCGCGGGAGCGGAGUGAAAGAGAACCUGAAACCGUAUGCCUACAAGAAGUCAGAGCCCGUUAAGGGGUGAUGGCGUGCCUUUUGUAGAAUGAACCGGCGAGUUGCGACAGACUGCGAGGUUAAGGAGGAAAGACCGGAGCCGAAGCGAAAGCGAGUCUUAAUAGGGCGAAAGUAGGAUGUUGCAGACCCGAAACCGGGUGAUCUAGCCAUGAGCAGGUUGAAGUUGAGGUGAAACUCAAUGGAGGACCGAACCGACUACCGUUGAAAAGUUAGCGGAUGACUUGUGGCUAGGGGAGAAAUUCCAAUCGAACCCGGAGAUAGCUGGUUCUCCCCGAAAUAGCUUUAGGGCUAGCGUCGGAAAGAACCUUAGUGAAGGUAGAGCACUGAAUGUGUGAUGGCCCCAUCCCGGGGUACUGAAUACAAUCAAACUGCGAAUGUCAUUAAGGAUGUCCGGCAGUCAGACUGUGAGUGAUAAGGUCCAUGGUCAAGAGGGAAACAGCCCAGACCGCCAGUUAAGGUCCCAAAAUACAGGCUAAGUGGAAAAGGAUGUGGGGAUGCCCAGACAACUAGGAGGUUGGCUCAGAAGCAGCCAUCCUUUAAAGAGUGCGUAACAGCUCACUAGUCGAGUGACCCUGCGCCGAAAAUGUACCGGGGCUAAGCCUGAUACCGAAACUGCGGAUUGUAGGAAACUAUAGUGGUAGGGGAGCGUUGUAUACGAGUAGAAGCCGUACCGUGAGGAGCGGUGGAUUGUAUAGAAGUGAGAAUGCCGGUGUGAGUAGCGAGAUGUAGGUGAGAAUCCUACACACCGAAAGCCCAAGGAUUCCAGGGGAAGGUUCGUCCGCCCUGGGUAAGUCGGGACCUAACGCGAGGCCGAAAGGCGUAGUGGAUGGAAAGCAGGCGAAAGAUUCCUGCACCCGUAUAUGGAGCGAAGGAGUGACGGAGACGGAUAGUGUGACCCUCUUAAUGGAUUGAGGGCGAAGCGAAGCGGCUGGUUACCAGGCAAAUCCGGUAACCAUAAGGCUAGAGCGUGAGAGGUAAGCGAAAUCUUAGGAAAGUAGCGAAGCACAUGAUGACGGCUUCCAGGAAAAGCUUCUGGCAAUGCAUAUGCGGCCCGUACCAAAACCGACACAGGUGGGCAGGGAGAGAAUCCCGAGGUGAGCGAGAGAACUGUUGCCAAGGAACUCGGCAAAAUGACUCCGUAAGUUAGCGAGAAGGAGUGCUUAAGCAAUUAAGCCGCAGUGAAGAGGCCCAAGCGACUGUUUAACUAAAACACAGCUCUCUGCGAAGUCGCAAGACGAAGUAUAGGGGGUGACACCUGCCCGGUGCUGGAAGGUUAAGAGGAUCUGUUAAGAGCGAUCUGAAGCAGUGAUCCGAAGCCCCAGUGAACGGCGGCCGUAACUAUAACGGUCCUAAGGUAGCGAAAUUCCUUGUCAGGUAAGUUCUGACCCGCACGAAUGGCGUAACGAUUUGGGCACUGUCUCAACAGCCCGCCCGGCGAAAUUGUAGUACCGGUGAAGAUGCCGGUUAC
rnacentral:rRNA from 1 species